GCCAGACUCGGUUCUGGAAUGCGUGUUACAUAAACAUCGACGUGACUUCACGGUCGAGUCUGGAUUCAGUAGCUAAGUGUCUGAAAAGGUUUUAUCCUUGACUGAACCAGUAACUCCAGCAUGACUGUUGGGAGACCAGUUGACCUGCAGAGUGGAGGGCGGAGCUCUGAACGGAGAGAACAAACGGCAACAAGGAUGGCUUCCAGUGGAUGUCCAGCGUUCAUUAGGAGAAUGUGCUCCAGUUACCUGAAGAAAACAGGACUGAUUACAUAACUGUUGCCUGAGCAGGAAAAAGGAAAAUGAAUGCACUCAAGAGCGGACAGAUUCUGGGCGGGGCCGUCACUUCACACAGAGCAUGACCACACCCCCCAGUCCAAAGGAUGUCAUCAGUACCACCAUCAUCAUACGACCCGAACUGGGUACAACUCUCCACCACUCCAGUCCGGAUAACACAGGAGCCCUGCAUCCAGCCCACCACAUUCCUACGCCACUCACUCCUUGAUUCUCCUUCCUGCACAUCCAGCUGCCACAGAAACUCCGCCCCCUCUUCGAGUCACCAGACAUUCACUGGACAAUAAACAGUUAUUCAGCCCUUAUUCUGCAUUCCAUGAUCCUUCCAGGUUACAGCUUCUGGGUCUGCUACGCCUCACCCCGUUACCAGGACAAGGGCAAGUCCUGCACUGUGUUCACUUAUUCAAACUUUAUUUUUGAAACACCUGUAUCAAUAUCAGGUGUAACAUGUACUUGCAUGCUGCAAGGCGGUUACUGAGGAGAUGAAGACUAAGAAGAUAUGCGACAAAUAGAUUGUUGGGAAAACAGAAUUCUACAAGGUAGCU